CUGCUCCUGCAGGAGCCAUUCAUAGGCUGCGCACUCUGUAAACACAGUCAAGACUCCACUCUGUCUAGCACUUGAAUACAACCGGUCACUAUGGAAAUGCACAUUGUUAUCAACAUGUGUAUGCUGUUCACUGAACCCAUCACCAUUCUAGCAACAAUGGGAAACACUGUCAAGUUGCCGGGAUACUUGGAGAGUCCCACUGAGCCUUUCUAUGAAGACAAUAACGUUGUGUAUGCAAGGGGACACAUAUAUGAGGUUACGCAAACCCCAGUGGGGUCCCAGGUUAUAAUUCGCUUCCUCACGUGCACCGACGAAGGCACUUACAGGAUAGGAAAUGAGACCUUUACUCUGAGUGUGAAGGCAGACACAUGUGCUAUGUUCUACUACACUGCCAAGGUUGACUCAGUUAAAACGGCAGCCUUUGUUAAGCCGCUGAAUGGUGUCAUUACAAUCUCUAUGUUCUACAUAGAACCUGGAAAUCGCAACAUGUGGAGUUUAAUUGAAGUGUGGAAUGAGAGUAUGAGCAGAAUGUUAAGCUCACACCAUUGCUGUUUCAUUAUCAAUGAAGGAACCACAUUCGGGGGAUGUGGUGAUAAGCAAUACCAUUUUUUAAUGUAUCAGAGACAUGGGCAAGCUGACAUGUCAUGCUCCAAUGUACAACUAGCAGCCUCGGCGAGUGCCACCACCACUACAACAACCCGAAGAAACCCAAUGUUGACCAUGCCAGAUCUGAAGGAGUUGGAGGAUGUGAGGAGACCGGUGAAACUGCUCAACAUCAGUGACAGUAUACGGACCUUGAAGAGGAUGAUAGUUGAUUUGGAAAAGUCUUGGCUGUCUGCUGGACCUAACCUGAACACACACAUCCUGAUACCACUGUUCAUUACGAUGGCAACUCUGAUCAUGAAUAAUCUACUCAUGUACUGACUUUUUAUGUUGCCUAUAGUGUGUCUUGUGUAGUGCAAGCAAUUAUUUACCUAUACUCUUGGUAUUGUGUAUUUACCACUGACAUAUAGGAUGCAUGUGAUGCCUUUGGUAUUACAUCGUUUAUUGACAAUAUACCUGCCUGUACAUCUAUUGUGACACUACAAUGAUACCAUAUUAAUCAUGAAUGUAUAAUCAUAACUGUUUAAGGAUAUUCAAUAUACAUUUAAAAGAAACAUCAGAAUAAACAUGUUAAAGACUCAUCACACCCUGUCCAGCUAGUGUUUUGUCUUCACUUCGCACACUCUGUACUUUUAUUUCUCUGUAUCUGGCCUCUGACUAUAUCUUGGUCUUCCUUGGUCAUAUCGGCAGCACGCAUCCAUUCUCUGUCCUGAAGCAGUUCAUGAGCCAACAUUCUCUGUGUCACGGACAGUGAGCAAUCUGAAGACUAUCCUUUUCACUAGUUCACACUGCAUCA
rnacentral:lncRNA from 8 species